CGUGACUGGUGGAUGGAUUUCUGCGAUGUACGGCAUACCCGGUUCAGUGGCAAUGCGAAUUGCCUUCGGUACGAAGGGCAGCUGGAUCCCGUCGGUGAUCAAUGCCUUCGUUGCGAUGGGCUGGUUUGCACUCCAAACCAGCAUAUCCGCCUUGGCGUUCGACAAAAUUAUCAUUCACUUUGGAGGGGAUUCCCAUUUUCUACUGUGGGUAGUGGU
rnacentral:rRNA from 1 species